GAGGUAUUAGUUAUUCAUACCAGAUAUUUGAAUGGAAGAUUCUAAUUUCUAAUAGGUAUCAUUGUUUUUUUUGUGAUGUCUUCUGUAUCACAGAUGUUGCUAAUUUUACAUACUUCUGUAAGCAUAUGGUAAACAUGUUGACCAUAAUGGUCAGUCCAUAGUAAGGUAAUGUGGGUUCAGAAGGGUGGGUAAAUCAUCUGUAUCUAGCAAAACCAUGGAAGCUGUUUGCUGUUAUUUGACAUGCGUAUCAUAACCCGAUUCAAGCAAAUAAAAUAAUCAUUUAGUUGGAUUUCAGUAAUUAAAAUUUGGAUUAAUUCAAUUUUUUGAUAGAAUACUUGUCAAAGAUGUACAGGAGAAACUUUUAGAAAUUGGCUUUAGAGAGGCUCUUACUAUGACUAUGCUUCAUGUUACCCCCAAUGUGGCUGCUGAAAGAGAAUUUCAGAGCAUGUCGUAAAUUUUCUGUUAACUUCAUAUGGCAUUAUAUAAUGUUCAUCAUAUGGGGGUGGCAGCAACAAAAUUAUCCAUGUCAAAAUCCAUAUUACUGGGGAGACGGGAGGGGGUGCAUUAUGAAUGGAGAUUAGAUUAUUUUGAGUAGGGGAAUAUAAAUUUAAUUCUGUCCAACCAAUAUUGUUAAACAAGUUUUAGUGCUAAACUAUCUAGGUCAAUCAUAAGCAAAUCCCAAUGAACAUCAAAACAGUUUUGAAUUUAUACAUGCUCUAUGUUUUUUCCUGAAAGCUGCAAGUUUUAUUGAACUUUUUAAAUAUGAAGCCUGUAAUGAAUCUUGUGCACCUCUUUCUGGUGUAACUUUUAUUGUCCAAUAAAAUUUAUAGCUGCCUCUCUGGUGAGUUCGACUUAUUUUAGAUCUUGGGUGCAGAACG
rnacentral:misc_RNA from 1 species